rnacentral:lncRNA from 1 species
CAACGGAAGUUAUUUACCAAAUAAAAGUAUUUUUACAUGUCCAAACAAUAAUAUCAUGAAAAUGUUACACUUUGUUUUGAAUUUGGCUGUCAUGGCCCACCUUUUCAGGCAUACGGUCUCCCUGCAUUUCAAUGCCAACCCUUGAAUCGAAUCGUCGGCAUACAUGGCAACAAUGUUUUUAUCAUACAUAAAUGCGUUUUUUAUUACAUCACAUGCUACAAAAAGCAAAUAGUCUAUAGACUCUAACUAGUGGCUAGUCAAAUACAUAGUUUUAUAAUUAGCAAACAGAGUUCAUAACAAGCGGAAAA